CGGCCGCGCCUCCCCCCGCCCGCCCCCCGCCCGCCCCCGCCCCCGCCCUCCCGCCGGCUCUCGGUGCGGGCCCGUCAUGUGAGCGGGGUGGGGGGAAGUUACCGGUGCCCCCCGCCGCCGCCGGCCGGCCGCGCAGCGGGCAGGACGGCCGCCCCCCCGCCCCGCCCGCCUUUCGCUCCGCUGUCUCGUUCGCGUUUGCGAGCAGAACGGGCCGGGAGCGGGGGGAGAAGCGCUUUUCCCAGCCGCGGAGCAGCAGGGCGAGCCGGAAUGGAGAUCCCCCCCCCCCGCAGCCUCCCCCCCAGCAGCCCUGUGGGCCGGGCUCGGCGCAGGGACGCGAGGGAGCGGCGGUCGGGCUGCCCGGCCCCGGGGCGGGCGGCACAUGGAGUGCAGGGUUUAUCUGCAAGGUAACCAUAAAGCGCUCUGUGGAUUUGGGAAGAAAGUUCACCCUCGCACGCCGGAGGCGGCCAGGUGUGAGUCGGCAGCUCUCAGUGAACACCGGCAGCUGGCAGCGGGGCGGAGGAGAGGCGCUGCCCGCGGCUGGGCGUGCGGGACCACCGCUGCCUUGACGCCUGGCGGCGGGGACGCCUGCACACGGAGGCACGGACAGCUGGCUCAGGAGCUGGCACCUGGCAGCAGAGCAACGCGCUCCGUGCCCUCGCCUGUGACGCUGACCGCAUCAGGAAGGCCUGACCGGGCAACACGGGCCGGCACGUGGAAAGGCCGCCUCUCCUCUGCCCCGUGCGGGCCCCCUGCAGGGACGAGCCCCGGGAUCCAGCCACCGCAGAGGGGCUGCUUGGCACCCCAGCAGGCGAGAAGCCAACACACAGCCCCAGCCACCCAGGGGCUGCUGCGGGGAGAGCCCCAGCUGCCGCUGCGCAGCAGGUCAGAGCAGGUCCCUCUGCUCCUGCCCAGGCAGCCAGUCGGUUUUUUUCAUCUCCUUCACUCUUUGCCUCUAAGUGUGCUAUUUGGGUCAUUUUCUAUAUGAUUGCAUGGCAGGUUGGCAGGAGACCAUAAGGUGCAUUCAUAAACACUUAGCAGACA